rnacentral:rRNA from 1 species
GACGAACGCUGGCGGCGUGCCUAAUACAUGCAAGUUGAGCGCUGAAGGUUGGUACUUGUCCCAACUGGCUGUGCAGCGAACGGGUGAGUAACGCGUGGGGAAUCUGCCUUUGAGCGGGGGACAACAUUUGGAAACGAAUGCUAAUACCGCAUAAAAACUUUAAACACAAGUUUUAAGUUUGAAAGAUGCAAUUGCAUCACUCAAAGAUGAUCCCGCGUUGUAUUAGCUAGUUGGUGAGGUAAAGGCUCACCAAGGCGAUGAUACAUAGCCGACCUGAGAGGGUGAUCGGCCACAUUGGGACUGAGACACGGCCCAAACUCCUACGGGAGGCAGCAGUAGGGAAUCUUCGGCAAUGGACGAAAGUCUGACCGAGCAACGCCGCGUGAGUGAAGAAGGUUUUCGGAUCGUAAAACUCUGUUGGUAGAGAAGAACGUUGGUGAGAGUGGAAAGCUCAUCAAGUGACGGUAACUACCCAGAAAGGGACGGCUAACUACGUG